rnacentral:other from 1 species
AAUUUCCUGCGGUGUUCGUUUUCGAGCUUUGUGGCCCGGCCCGAUUCAUCAACUGCGGGGGCUACGCGCUGAAGUGACAUGUCAUGCCUUCACUGGAAGACAGAGCUUCAUCACGCGGGUUCCCACCUGGUCUCAUGGGAUACGUGAGCCCUUUGUAUUCGGACGGCACAUGUGGGUUUGAA